CAGCCAGGUAUGGAUGUCAAGAAAUUCUUCUCACCCACAUGUGACCUUGAGUAGCUCAAAUAACCUCAGCAACUCAGGUUUGUUACCUGAUGAUUAAAAAUGAUGGAAGCAUGACCCUCACAGGAUAUUGUGAAAACUGAGCUAAGGGAGAGAAAGUGCUAUCAAGUACAUGGCAAAAUGCAUAGUCAUGACAAAAUGACAAAAUUAUAGAAGCUGUUACACUAUGAUGAUUCUCAUUAUGACAACAAUUCAUGGGCAUUGGAAUAGAAUGAGACUGCCAUUUUGGAGGGAGUUCUUUGGCCAUUAAUAGGUUCAACACUAACAUGGGAGUUGUUAGAAUUCUGAGUCUGGCUCCAUCAUCUGCUAGCUGUAUGAUUUGAGGUAAUUUACUUGACCAAAUUUUCUGAAAACAAGGAAAACCAUAUUGUCUACCUCAGGGGUUUAUGAUGAAGAUUAUGUAAAUUAAUAUGAAUGGCAGCCAGCACACACAGCUUUUUAAUGAUGCUCUGAAAGCUAUUUUUUUUUUCAUGGUUUGUCUAUCUUCCUUGCCUCCUGGGUGAGUAGUAGAGACCAAGAGGUCCAUGGUGUCUUCUUUCCUGUAUCCCACUUAAUAAUUGAGAACAUGUUUUGAUAAAUCAUCCUUAGUGCUCCCAAAAUUUCUUUGAGCAAAGUGACCAUAACACUCAGCUGUUAUGUGUGGGUGAUGAUUUCUCAUGGAGGGCCAAUCCAGUGGCUAUAGGAGCCAUGCUGAGCUGUGCAUUUCUAACACCAAUUUUCUCAUCAAUAUAGUCCUCUUCUCCCUCAGGACUUGAAUUGAGGCAUGGCCUCUCCUGGGAAUCUGAGAGGGAAUAGUACUAAUCUGAGCAUGUGUACUUGUGUGCAUGUGUGCACAUGUGUAUCUAUGUAUGUGUGAGAGACAAUGUUUGUAGCCUACAGGCAGAUUUUAGGGUGCUUUGCUUUGCUUCCUUUUUUUCCUUUUUGGUUGUAAAGUUGAAUAAAAGGCACUUAGUCCAAAACUUUAAAAAAUUGCUACUGGGCAAAGUAAUUUUGUGUCAGGCUUCUGUUCAGAGCAGAUUUACACUGGUUAUAAAUCUCUAAAAUUAAGGUCUUACUGUAGAAAUGCUGAAAUGUAUUCAACAUUACCAGAUACCCAGGCCUGCUCUGAACCAGUGGCCAUUCUUCUGCCAUGUAUAAGAAGGAUAUCUAGCUAUGUGUUUGGAGUAAUAAGAAGUUUAAAUAUGCCUUCAGAUGGGUAAUGGCUCUCCAGUGACUAGCAGAAUUUUCUAUCAACACUUCUUUCUCUAGAACCAAAGGUUAAGUUGAAGAAUUUGAUUUAAUGACAGAGUUAAUUAGGUCUUUUAACAUUACAAGAUUCUUUCCUUCUGUUUUCUAAUCAAGCUUCUAGUCUAGGGUCAGGAGUUCUGUGACAGUGUGGUGGGGGCUAAAGUACCAGUGUUGGUUCUUGUGAUGUUUGAUGCGGGUGAGGGAAAGAGAUUUAAGGGUACUUAGCAACUUCUGAGUUGCCAGGGCCUGGAUGCCUGCUAGUCCUAAUGCACUUCUUCCUUACCUUGACCAGACACUGGGUUUGUAAUAUGUUUGGCUGUUAUAUGGGACUAUCUAAUUAGGCCUUUUAUUUUAAGACUUGGGAAACUGAGGCUAACAUGAGUGAAACACUUGCCAAUGGUGACUUGGGUCAGUUAGGGCAGAAUUAAGAGACCUGAAGGUCAGACUGUGGUUCUAACCAAAAGGAUCCAUCCUCAAGAAAUUCAAAAAAAUGCAAAACUUCCUUGUGGUUUCAAAUUUAGGUUAUUUCUAAGCUAAUUUUAUUAUUUUCUCCCUACUACUUUAUAAGGCACAUUUAUAGUAUUAGAUCUCAGUUCAGUGUAUACUAAUGAAACCUCUUGACUGUAAAUGAAGAACUUGUCUAUUUCCCUUUUAAAACAAAUACUGCAGAGUCUGUAAGAAGGUUUAGGAGUUCUCAUAACAGACUGGAGGUUGCAGGGUUUGGUAAGAGAAAGAGAAGCUAGCAACACAGAUGAAGAGUCCAGAAGCAAGACACAUGACUACUUUCUGGACCUAGGAGCUUGGUUAUUAGGGCUUGAUUCUCCUUCACAAAUGAAUUCUCACUGGCCGUUGGUCUUUAUUUCAUUCAUUCUGAGACCAAGUCUAGGUAGAAAAAUAAAAAGAACUGGACUGAGCAACUUGCCAAGGCCUUGACCUCCAAGAACCAGAAGGUCUGGAUACAUUAGCUUCUCUUGGGGGUGACCACUCCCUAGUUUUAAGACCACACAGAAUGAGGAAAUCCUCACAAAACAAGAAAAAGACUACAGUACAGGUUUGAGAUCAUCUCAAAUGUAAGAAAUGUGUAGGAUAAAAGGGGUCAGGGGUCACUGUCAACUCUGACCAUGCUCU